UACGGAGGAUCCGAGCGUUAUCCGGAAUUAUUGGGUUUAAAGGGUGCGUAGGCGGCCAUUUAAGUCAGCGGUGAAAUUUUGCAGCUUAACUGUAACAGUGCCGUUGAUACUGUUUGGCUAGGAUUUGGUUGCUGUGGGUGGAAUGUGUGGUGUAGCGGUGAAAUGCUUAGAGAUCACACAGAAUAUCGAUUGCGAAGGCAGCUCACAAAGCCAAGAUUGACGCUGAGGCACGAAAGUGUGGGGAGUCAAACAGGAUUA
rnacentral:rRNA from 1 species